CCCUUAGAUGUCCUGGGCCGCACGCGCGUUACACUGAUGCAUUCAACGAGCUUAUAACCUUGGCCGAGAGGCCCGGGCAAUCUUGUUAACGUGCAUCGUGAUAGGGAUAGAUUAUUGAAAUUAUUAAUCUUGAACGAGGAAUUCCUAGUAAACGCAGAUCAUCAAUCUGCAUUGAUUACGUCCCUGCCCUUUGUACACACCGCCCGUCGCACCUACCGAUUUUGAGUGGUCCGGUGAACCUUCUGGAUUGUGCGGCUUGCCGCGCGAGAAGUUAUGUAAACCUUAUCACUUAGAGGAAGGAGAAGUCGUAACA
rnacentral:rRNA from 1 species